rnacentral:rRNA from 1 species
GGCUCAGGACGAACGCUGGCGGCGUGCCUAAUACAUGCAAGUCGAACGGUCUUUCUAUGGAAGCUUGCUUCCACUGAGAAGAUAGUGGCGAACGGGUGAGUAACACGUGGGUAACCUGCCCAUAAGAGGGGGGACAACAUCCGGAAACGGGUGCUAAUACCGCAUAGUUUUCUUGAUCGCAUGAUCGGGAAGGAAAGACGGCCUUUGUGCUGUCGCUUAUGGAUGGACCCGCGGCGUAUUAGUUAGUUGGUGAGGUAACGGCUCACCAAGACGAUGAUACGUAGCCGACCUGAGAGGGUGAUCGGCCACAUUGGGACUGAGACACGGCCCAAACUCCUACGGGAGGCAGCAGUGGGGAAUAUUGCACAAUGGGGGAAACCCUGAUGCAGCGACGCCGCGUGAGUGAAGAAGUAUUUCGGUAUGUAAAGCUCUAUCAGCAGGGAAGAAAAUGACGGUACCUGACUAAGAAGCCCCGGCUAACUACGUGCCAGCCGCCGC